ACGGAAGGCAGCAGUGAGGAAUAUUGGUCAAUGGGCGAGAGCCUGAACCAGCCAAGUAGCGUGAAGGAUGACUGCCCUACGGGUUGUAAACUUCUUUUGCCGGGGGAUAAAAAACGGGACGUGUCCCGUCUUGCAGGUACCCGUGCGAAUAAGGACCGGCUAAUUCCGUGCCAGCAGCCGCGGUAAUACGGAAGGUCCGGGCGUUAUCCGGAUUUAUUGGGUUUAAAGGGAGCGUAGGCGGCCUUUUAAGCGUGUUGUGAAAUGUCCCGGCUCAACCGUGGCACUGCAGCGCGAACUGGAGGGCUUGAGUGCGCCGGAAGUAGGCGGAAUUCGUUGUGUAGCGGUGAAAUGCUUAGAUAUGACGAAGAACUCCGAUUGCGAAGGCAGCUUACUGUCGCGUAACUGACGCUGAAGCUCGAAAGUGCGGGUAUCGAACAGGAUUAGAUACCCUGGUA
rnacentral:rRNA from 1 species